UGAUAUUCAGGGUCAUGACUUUCUGAACCCAUCAGAGAGCUGAAUUGCAGGGCAAUUAAAUAGUUUAAAAUGAAGGAAAGAGAGGUGCCUCCUACAAUAACAGAGAUGGGCUGCAAACAUUGGAUGACCUGUGGCAGAGCACGGAAAGAAGGCAAGGAUGACAGCUACAUGCAGACAAGGUCUCCAGAUUUGCCACCCAUGCUGAGUGCCGUGGUGUGAUCAUGGCUUAUUUCAACCUCAACCUCCCCCACUCAAGCGAUCCUCCUGCCUCAGCCUCUGGAGUAGCUGGGACUACAGGCACGCACCACCACACCCAGCCAUAAUUUGCCUCUUGCUGUAACUAAAAGGUCACAAAAACAAAGAAUUCUAAAAAAUCUUCUUCUUAAGUGGAUCUAACAUUGUGAUCGACACCAU
rnacentral:lncRNA from 10 species